rnacentral:rRNA from 1 species
UACAGAGGUCUCAAGCGUUGUUCGGAUUCAUUGGGCUAAAGGGUGCGUAGGCGGCGCGGUAAGUCGGGUGUGAAAUCUCGGGGCUUAACUCCGAAACUGCAUUCGAUACUGCCGUGCUUGAGGACUGGAGAGGAGACUGGAAUUUACGGUGUAGCGGUGAAAUGCGUAGAUAUCGUAAGGAAGACCAGUGGCGAAGGCGGGUCUCUGGACAGUUCCUGACGCUGAGGCACGAAGGCCAGGGGAGCAAACGGG